GCGCCGGUUGUGUAAGGCGUAGCAUCGAUAUCCGGAUGUCCGGAAAGCAGAGGGUGCGGGUUCGAGUCCCGCCUGGCGCA
rnacentral:tRNA from 1 species